UACGUAGGGUGCAAGCGUUAAUCGGAAUUACUGGGCGUAAAGCGUGCGCAGGCGGUUGUGCAAGACCGAAGUGUGAAAUCCCCGGGCGUUAACCUCGGGAAUGGACAUUGGUGACUGCACGGCUAGAGUGUGUCAGAGGGGGGUAGAAUUCCACGUGUAGCAGUGAAAUGCGUAGAGAUGUGGAGGAAUACCGAUGGCGAAGGCAGCCCCCUGGGAUAACACUGACGCUCAUGACACGGAAAGCGUGGGGAGCAAACAGG
rnacentral:rRNA from 1 species